rnacentral:misc_RNA from 1 species
UACCAAGUGCUUCCACUACCCGACAAUCCUACAAUGGCUCAAAUGAAGAGUUUCAAAGAAAGGAAGGCAAGGAAGUCCAAGGCCAAAAACUGCUUGUUUGCUACAGUUUCAUCCUCAAUUUUCACCAAAAUCAUGUCCUUGAAAACAGCCUUUGAUAUAUGGAACUAUCUCAAGAAGGAGUACGAGGGAAAUGAGAAGAUCAAAGGAAUGCAAGUGCUGAAUCUGGUUAGAGAAUUUGAGAUGCAGAAAAUG